rnacentral:rRNA from 1 species
AGCGAACGCUGGCGGCAGGCUUAACACAUGCAAGUCGAACGCCCCGCAAGGGGAGUGGCAGACGGGUGAGUAACACGUGGGAACGUACCCUUUGGUUCGGAAUAACUUGGGGAAACUCAAGCUAAUACCGGAUAAGCCCUUAUGGGGAAAGGUUUACUGCCGAAGGAUCGGCCCGCGUCUGAUUAGCUAGUUGGUGAGGUAAUGGCUCACCAAGGCGACGAUCAGUAGCUGGUCUGAGAGGAUGAUCAGCCACACUGGGACUGAGACACGGCCGAGACUCCUACGGGAGGCAGCAGUGGGGAAUAUUGGACAAUGGGGGCAACCCUGAUCCAGCCAUGCCGCGUGAGUGAUGAAGGCCUUAGGGUUGUAAAGCUCUUUCACCCGGGAUGAUAAUGACAGUACCGGGAGAAUAAGCUCCGGCUAACUCCGUGCCAGCAGCCGCGGUAA